rnacentral:rRNA from 1 species
CGUAGGUGGCAAGCGUUGUCCGGAUUUAUUGGGUUUAAAGGGUGCGUAGGAGGCUUUGUAAGUCAGUGGUGAAAUACUCCAGCUCAACUGGGGAGGUGCCAUUGAUACUGCAGAGCUAGAGUACUGAUGAGGUAGGCGGAAUGGACGGUGUAGCGGUGAAAUGCUUAGAUAUCGUCCAGAACACCGAUAGCGAAGGCAGCUUACUAAGAGUAACUGACGCUGAGGCACGAAAGUGUGGGGAUCAAACAGGAUUAGAUACCCUGGUAGUCCACACUGUAAACGUUGAUCACUAGAUGUUGGCGAUACACUGCCAGCGUUCCAGCAAAAGCGAUAAGUGAUCCACCUGGGGAGUACGCCCGCAAGGGUG